rnacentral:rRNA from 1 species
UACGUAGGGGACCAGCGUUGUCCGGAUUUACUGGGCGUAAAGAGCGCGCAGGCGGUCGUUCAAGUCGGGUGUGAAAGCCCCCGGCUCAACUGGGGAGGGUCAUUCGAUACUGAUCGACUGGAAGGCAGGAGAGGGAAGCGGAAUUCCCGGUGUAGUGGUGAAAUGCGUAGAUAUCGGGAGGAACACCAGUGGCGAAGGCGGCUUCCUGGCCUGUUCUUGACGCUGAGGCGCGAAAGCUAGGGGAGCAAACGGG